rnacentral:rRNA from 1 species
AUGAGCAAAAUCUCAACUUUAUUAGAAGAGACGCAUUUAUUAGAUAAAAAGCCAAUGCAUGCUUUUACAGUAUGAAAAUUGGUGAUUUAUAAUAACUUAGCAAAUCGCAAAGUGAAAACAGGCGAUAAAUCAUUCAAGUUUCUGACCUAUCAGCUUUCGACGGUAUGGUAUUGGCUUACCGUGGCAGUGACGGUUAACGGGGGAUUAGGGUUCGAUUCCGGAGAGGGAGCCUGAGAAACGGCUACCACAUCUAAGGAAGGCAGCAGGCGCGCAAAUUACCCAAUUCUAACAGUUUGAGAGAGGUUGUAACAAGAAAUAACAAUACAAGGCAGUUAAAAUGCUUUGUAAUUGGAAUGAUAGAUAUUUAAACCCUUUUUAAAGUAUCAAUUGGAGGGCAAGUCUGGUGCCAGCAGCCGCGGUAAUUCCAGCUCCAAUAGCGUAUAUUAAAAUUGUUGCAGUUAAAAAGCUCGUAGUUGAAGUUCUGCUAAAAGUGACCGGUCUGCUUUGAAUAAAAGUGGUAUCUUGGUAUGUAUUUAGCAAUGAUGUCCUUUGAAGUGUUUUUUACUUUAUUGUAAUAAAGCAUAUUCAGGACUUUUACUUUGAGAAAAUUAGAGUGCUUCUAGCAGGCCAACGCUUUGAAUACUGCAGCAU